AGGGUUUGAUUAUGGCUCAGGACGAACGCUGGCGGCGUGCUUAACACAUGCAAGUCGAACGGUUCUCGAAGUUCGAGGUUGGAUGUUCGAAGUUCGAAAGAGCAGGAAUUCGCAAAGCGAAUUUCAACAAACAUCGAAUUCACGAAUGCCGAACCUCGAACUUCGAGGAUAGUGGCGGACGGGUGAGUAACGCGUGGAUAACCUGCCUGACAGCCUGGGAUAACGCCGGGAAACUGGUGCUAAUACCGGAUACGUUCCUUGUGUUGCAUAACAUAAGGAAGAAAGGGGAAACCCGCUGACAGAUGGGUCCGCGUCCCAUUAGCUAGUUGGAGGGGUAACGGCCCACCAAGGCGACGAUGGGUAGCCGGCCUGAGAGGGCGACCGGCCACACUGGAACUGAGACACGGUCCAGACUCCUACGGGAGGCAGCAGUGGGGAAUCUUCCGCAAUGGGCGCAAGCCUGACGGAGCAACGCCGCGUGAGUGAAGAAGGUUUUCGGAUUGUAAAACUCUGUCCAGGGGGAAGAAGUAAGUGACGGUACCCCUGGAGGAAGCCCCGGCUAACUACGUGCCAGCAGCCGCGGUAAAACGUAGGGGGCGAGCGUUGUCCGGAAUUACUGGGCGUAAAGG
rnacentral:rRNA from 1 species